CCUACGGGUGGCAGCAGUGAGGAAUAUUGGUCAAUGGACGAGAGUCUGAACCAGCCAAGUAGCGUGAAGGAUGACUGCCCUAUGGGUUGUAAACUUCUUUUAUAAAGGAAUAAAACGAGGCACGUGUGCCUUUUGCAUGUACUUUAUGAAUAAGGAUCGGCUAACUCCGUGCCAGCAGCCGCGGUAAUACGGAGGAUCCGAGUGUUAUCCGGAUUUAUUGGGGUUAAAGGGAGCGUAGAUGGGUUGUUAAGUCAGUUGUGAAAGUUUGCGGCUCAACCGUAAAAUUGCAAUUGAUACUGGCAGUCUUGAGUACAGUUGAGGUAAGCGGAAUUCGUGGUGUAGCGGUGAAAUGCUUAGAUAUCACGAAGAACCCCGAUUGCGAAGGCAGCUUACUAAACUGUGACUGACAUUGAUGCUCGAAAGUGUGGGUAUCAAACAGGAUUAGAUACCCGGGUAGUC
rnacentral:rRNA from 1 species